GACGAACGCUGGCGGCGUGCUUAACACAUGCAAGUCGAACGGAAAGGCCCUGCUUUUGUGGGGUGCUCGAGUGGCGAACGGGUGAGUAACACGUGAGUAACCUGCCCUUGACUUUGGGAUAACUUUAGGAAACUGGGGCUAUUACCGGAUAGGAGCUCCUGCUUCAUGGUGGGGGUUGGAAAGUUUCGGCGGUUGGGGAUGGACUCGCGGCUUAUCAGCUUGUUGGUGGGGUAGUGGCUUACCAAGGCUUUGACGGGUAGCCGGCCUGGGAGGGUGACCGGCCACAUUGGGACUGGGAUGCGGCCCAGACUGCUACGGGAGGCAGCAGUGGGAAAUAUUGCACAAUGGGCGGAAGCCUGAUGCAGCAACGCCGCGUGCGGGAUGACGGCCUUCGGGUUGUAAACCGCUUUCGCCUGUGACGAAGCGUGAGUGACGGUAAUGGGUAAAGAAGCACCGGCUAACUACGUG
rnacentral:rRNA from 1 species